rnacentral:sRNA from 1 species
AUUCUGCCCAUGCGGGGAAGGAUGAGAAGCUUCGACCAAGGUUCGACUCGAGCGCCAGCGAGAGAGCGUUGCCGCAGGCAGACCCGAAGGGCGAAGCGCGCAGCGCUGAGUAAUCCUUCCCCCACCACCA